GAUGAACGCUGGCGGCGUGCCUAAUACAUGCAAGUCGAGCGAACAGACGAGGAGCUUGCUCCUCUGACGUUAGCGGCGGACGGGUGAGUAACACGUGGAUAACCUACCUAUAAGACUGGGAUAACUUCGGGAAACCGGAGCUAAUACCGGAUAAUAUAUUGAACCGCAUGGUUCAAUAGUGAAAGACGGUUUUGCUGUCACUUAUAGAUGGAUCCGCGCCGCAUUAGCUAGUUGGUAAGGUAACGGCUUACCAAGGCAACGAUGCGUAGCCGACCUGAGAGGGUGAUCGGCCACACUGGAACUGAGACACGGUCCAGACUCCUACGGGAGGCAGCAGUAGGGAAUCUUCCGCAAUGGGCGAAAGCCUGACGGAGCAACGCCGCGUGAGUGAUGAAGGUCUUCGGAUCGUAAAACUCUUUUAUUAGGGAAGAACAAAUGUUUAAGUAACUAUGCACGUCUUGACGGUACCUAAUCAGAAAGCCACGGCUAACUACGUG
rnacentral:rRNA from 1 species